rnacentral:lncRNA from 10 species
CUAGAAGAGCCCUCAGACUGUGAUGCAUAUCUAACCUAGAGGGAAGGAGAGAGGAGCAGAAGGCAGGGCAAUGGGAGCAUUUCACACUGCAGAGCGGUUCUAAGGAAAGUUUGGCAAGGACUUCAGUGAGUCCCAAGCCACAGUCACUCAUUCCCUGUCUUCCAGGAAUGGACCUUCCGCAGUACUCCCACCCUGCUCAGCCAUUGGCUGGGGGAAGCUGUAGGAAGACAGGACUCAAAACGAUGGUGGAUUUCAGGGCACAGCAGCUGGGCCAUGGGUUAAUUAUGUUUCCUAAAGUCAAGGAUCUGAGAGGAGCCUUCUCCUGGAUGCCCCAUGAGCAGAAGGACUAUGAGUUUGGCUGGGAAUUCAGCUGCACGUGA